UACGUAGGGUGCAAGCGUUGUCCGGAAUUAUUGGGCGUAAAGAGCUCGUAGGCGGUCUGUCACGUCGGCUGUGAAAACCCGAGGCUCAACCUCGGGCCUGCAGUCGAUACGGGCAAACUAGAGUACUGCAGGGGAGACUGGAAUUCCUGGUGUAGCGGUGAAAUGCGCAGAUAUCAGGAGGAACACCGGUGGCGAAGGCGGGUCUCUGGGCAGUAACUGACGCUGAGGAGCGAAAGCAUGGGGAGCAAACAGG
rnacentral:rRNA from 1 species